CUCAUGGAUCCCAUGGUCAAGGCAACCAGCUGGGAGGACCGACCUGCCCCUGCCUGGAAGUGAUGUGGGGAUUCUCAUGGGGCCCAGCCUCUGGCCUCCCUCCGUCCAGAGGUGCCACUCAGACACCAGCAGUGGUCCACAGCCGUCAGCAGGGAGGGCUGUGUACCUGCAGGGAAAUGGGGGAGACCCGUCUGCAAGGAGGAAGGAAAUGCAGCUUGGGGGCAGCUGAGGAGUUGGAGUUUCCUCCUCCGCAAGAGACUCAAGUACCUGCUGACCCCGAGGGAGCCCAACCGCUGGGCCGUGGAGCGCGAGGGGGCUACGCCGUCCAGCUCCCGCGUCACCGCGAACGGCGUGCUCCUGAAGCCCACCCACAUCGUCGUGGAGACCAUGAUGUGAGCCCGCCCGGCCGCAGGGGCUGCCUGCCUGCUGUUUACUAACCUUAGAUUCUCAUAGGACCAGGUUUACAGAGCUUUACAUUUGCACUAGGAUUUUUUUUUUAAUUGUCACAGAAAAUGUUACUCUGUGUGUGUGUGUGUGUGUGUGUGUGUGUGUGUGUGUGUGUGUGUGUGUGUACGGUAUUGUGCAUAUGUGUACUUUGUUCUGAUUUGGGGAUAUUUUGUACAAAAACCAAAACCCAUGGGCAGAUGUCCGGGGUGAGGCAGAGCUUUCAUACUGAAUUAGAUGUAUUUUAUGGGAACUUGGUAAA